ACAAGAAACAGGAGGGAAGAAUUCAUUUCAAUACAGCAAUAGAAAACGUGAAGCUCUGUUUCCUCACUGCGUCCUCGUUGUCUUUGGGUCUCCCAUGUGUGAAUCAUAGCUUCGUUUCCUUCCUCACUACGUCAUCUCCGUGUGUGAAUCAUAGGGUACCAAUUUGGCUAGUUUUACGCACCUUUUUUUUUUUUUUUUUGGUGGUCCAUCUCUAUUCGACCAAUUUGACGGAGAAAAAGGUAGAUCUUGUCAUGAGCAUGAAGAAAUGGUAGAUCGAUCUUGUCAUUUUUGUAGCUUCAUGUUGUCUCCGUGGCUAGCUUCAGAUACAAUUUGGGUUGGAUGGAUCACAACCAGUGCAAUUUGACUUGGAUGGAUCACGACCGGCAGGAAAAUGAAGUGGUUUAUGUAUUGAAUGUAAUUCAUGGACACAUGACAAUGCACCAUUUUUGUGUAUUGGAACUGUGUAAUGUGUAUUGGAACCAAUGGCUAUAUUAUAUUGGAUAAUUAUUUGUAUUUUUGGAUUGAUAGCUUUUUAUUUGUAGUUAUUUUUGGAUGGUAUGAGACUUUUUAUAUGU